rnacentral:rRNA from 1 species
GACAGAGGGUGCAAGCGUUGUUCGGAAUUAUUGGGCGUAAAGGGCGCGUAGGCGGUCUCGCAAGUCAGAUGUGAAAUCCCAGGGCUUAACCCUGGAAGUGCAUCUGAUACUGCUUGACUUGAGUCCCGGAGAGGGUGGUGGAAUUCCCAGUGUAGAGGUGAAAUUCGUAGAUAUUGGGAGGAACACCGGUGGCGAAGGCGACCACCUGGACGGAGACUGACGCUGAGGCGCGAAAGCGUGGAGAGCAAACAGG